rnacentral:rRNA from 1 species
AGCGAACGCUGGCGGCAGGCCUAACACAUGCAAGUCGAACGGACCCUUCGGGGUUAGUGGCGGACGGGUGAGUAACACGUGGGAACGUGCCUUUAGGUUCGGAAUAGCUCCUGGAAACGGGUGGUAAUGCCGAAUGUGCCCUUCGGGGGAAAGAUUUAUCGCCUUUGGAGCGGCCCGCGUCUGAUUAGCUAGUUGGUGAGGUAACGGCUCACCAAGGCGACGAUCAGUAGCUGGUCUGAGAGGAUGACCAGCCACACUGGGACUGAGACACGGCCCAGACUCCUACGGGAAGCAGCAGUGGGGAAUCUUGCGCAAUGGGCGAAAGCCUGACGCAGCCAUGCCGCGUGAAUGAUGAAGGUCUUAGGAUUGUAAAAUUCUUUCACCGGGGACGAUAAUGACGGUACCCGGAGAAGAAGCCCCGGCUAACUUCGUG